CUACCCAUAUCCCAGGUAAAUAAAGCUGGCCCAGUGGAAUUUUUUGUAAUUAUAAGGGUUAAUGAAAUUGGAAGCAUAGAACUAGUGGGUCAUUGGUUGCAUAAGAACCCAUUCAGAAGUUUGCUCCAUCAAGGAUAAGGUGCUCAUCUUGAGAUGGUGGGUACAAUUAUCCAGAUUGACACUAAGUAUAGUGGCUUCAGUGGAGUGGUGUUCAGCCAUUCAGAGUUUCAGACACCCAGUCUUUACUUUUGGCCAAUUUUCAGAUGUCCUGUUUAUCAAAUGUAGCUUUCCUCUAGACUGGUUAUACUUAGCCAGAUUACCAUUUGAGAAAUGGGACAUCAUGUUCUUGGUUAAGGAAAAAGAAGAAGUUAUUAGUUGGUGAUCUGUCAGUUAGACUCUUUGUGAGAAGUAUCUUCUUCCUUGAUCCCUAUCGUGAAUUACUAAACAUGUAUGGUUUUCGGUCAAGCAAUUCUCCAAUUUGAGCUCUUCAGUUGCAAAUAGACUGAUCAAACCAUGACCUUUUCAUUCAUCUGAGAUAAUAAGUAUGCUUCGAAACUCAUUACAUACUGAAAAGAUGGCCUUGAAAUAAUUUGUCUAUGCAAUGAUGAAACGAGUUUCAUUCUUCUCUGUUUCAUUGAACACUGUAGCAUGUAUAUCAUUUCUCUUCACCAUUUUCCCCUCCUUUUCCAUUCUUUUGCUGUUUAUGAGAUUGUGGAAUUUAUGAUUUGUUUAAGUAUUAUAGAUAUAUGCUUAAUGCUAAUAUAUGGAUUUCAGCUUCAAAGUCUCUCAAGUCACAGGUUACUCAGGCUUCUCAUUAGAUCUGUGUGGAUUGAUUCUUUCUGUUGAAUCCUCUCAUGGCUGUGCAUGACUAGAAUUUCAUCAAGGGACCUGUGGAAGGAGCAUGUUACUUGUCCAUGUCAGUUUUUGCCAGGAUGUUCAUGUAUUUACAGAGGGUUGCAGUUGUGAUUGGAAGUCCUAUUCAUGCUUUAACUUGAUUAUAAGAUUGUUAAGUUAUGGCAUCAACUGUGUAGGCAUCACUUUUCUGAUGCUAAUUUUUGUCAUCAAUGUAUUCUGUAAUCUAGCUUAUCUUUUUACGACUUUUUUGAACUUUUGAGUUAUUCGAGGUGUGCUAUCAAUGUCUCUGAGCUCCAGAGUUCUGGACCAAACCAUGUGUCAUCCCUAAUGACGAUAAAGAGGACAAUGAUUUGCAUAUGUUUCAUGUAGAUUUCCUGGCAAAGAAUUGGAAUUAGUGGAUUUAAUGUUCCCAAUUAUUCCAA